rnacentral:rRNA from 1 species
GACGAACGCUUGCGGCGUGCCUAAGAAAUGCCCGUUGAGCGGAUGAUAGGACUUCGGUCCUUGAUUCAGCGGCGAACGGUCGCGUAACACGUAACCAACCUGCCCCGAAGACCGGGACAACAUCUCGAAAGGGGUGCUAAUACCGGAUGUGGCCUUCUGGAGACAUCUCCGGGAGAUUAAACCGAGCAAUCGGCUUCGGGAGGGGGUUGCGGCCUAUCAGCUAGAUGGUGGGGUAAUGGCCUACCAUGGCGACGACGGGUAGCUGGUCUGAGAGGACGAUCAGCCGGAUUGGGACUGAGAUACGGCCCAGACUCCUACGGGGGGCAGCAAUUAGGAAUCUUGCACAAUGGGCGAAAGCCUGAUGCAGCGACGCCGCGUGGAGGAUGAAGUCCUUCGGGAUGUAAACUCCUUUUAAGAGGGAAGAAAAAAAUGACGGUACCUCUUGAAUAAGCUCCGGCUAACUACGUGCCAGCAGCCGCGGUAAUACGUAGGGAGCGAGCGUUGUCCGAAGUUACUGGGCGUAAAGCGCGCGUAGGCGGGAAAUUAAGUGAGAAGUGAAAGGCUGAGGCUCAACCUCAUGUAUUGCUUCUCAUACUGGUUUUCUUGAGGGCGGUAGGGAGAAGUGGAAUGGCUGGUGUAGCGGUGAAAUGCGUAGAUAUCAGUCGGAACACCGGUGGCGAAGGCGGCUUCUUGGGCCGUUCCUGACGCUGAGGCGCGAAAGCUAGGGUAGCAAACGGGAUUAGAUACCCUGGUAGUCCACGCUGUAAACGAUGGAUACUAGGUGUGGGAGGUAUCGACCCCUUCCGUGCCGCAGCAAACGCAAUAAGUAUCCCGCCUGGGGAGUACGGUCGCAAGGCUGAAACUCAAAGGAAUUGACGGGGGCCCGCACAAGCGGUGGAGCAUGUGGUUUAAUUCGAUGCAACGCGAAGAACCUUACCAGGUCUUGACAUCUGUAGAACCUUGAUGAAAGUUAAGGGUGCCUUCGGGAGCUACAAGACAGGUGGUGCAUGGUUGUCGUCAGCUCGUGUCGUGAGAUGUUGGGUUAAGUCCCGCAACGAGCGCAACCCUUGCUAUUAGUUGCUAACAUUUCGGAUGAGCACUCUAAUGGGACUGCCCGUGACAAGCGGGAGGAAGGUGGGGAUGACGUCAAAUCAUCAUGCCCUUUAUGAUCUGGGCUACACACGUGCUACAAUGGAUGGUACAAAGGGAAGCAAGACCGCGAGGUGGAGCAAAUCCCAAAAAGCCAUUCUCAGUUCGGAUUGGAGUCUGCAACUCGACUCCAUGAAGUCGGAAUCGCUAGUAAUUGCGAAUCAGCAUGUCGCAGUGAAUGCGUUCCCGGGCCUUGUACACACCGCCCGUCACACCACGAAAGUCGGCAACACCCGAAGCCGGUGAGCUAACUCGCAAGAAAAGCAGCCGUCGAAGGUGGGGUUGGUAAUUGGGGUG